CGUUCCCGGGCCUUGUACACACCGCCCGUCACACCACGAAAGUCGGCAACACCCGAAGCCGGUGGCCUAACCCGCAAGGGAGGGAGCCGUCGAAGGUGGGGCUGGCGAUUGGGGUG
rnacentral:rRNA from 1 species